CUUGGUGUGUUAUACUUGUAGCACAGACCCCCUAUCAGAUUCCUGUCCAUCCCCUGCUGCUACAGCCUGCUCUGAUGGUCAAGUGUGUGCAACUCAGAAAAUGAUUUCUAUAGCAAAGAACAUCAUCUCCUACAAUUUGAGAAGAUUCUGUGCCCCACCAAGUGAAUGCAAUGUGACUGGGACAUUCACCUACUACAACACAGCAGAGAG